UACGGGGGGGGCAAGCGUUGUUCGGAAUUACUGGGCGUAAAGGGCGCGUAGGCGGUUUGCUAAGUUGAAUGUGAAAACUCUGGGCUUAACCCAGAGCCUGCAUUCAAUACUGGCAGGCUAGAGUUCUGGAGGGGAUAGCGGAAUUCCUGGUGUAGCGGUGAAAUGCGUAGAUAUCAGGAGGAACGCCGGUGGCGAAGGCGGCUAUCUGGACAGAGUCUGACGCUGAGGCGCGAAAGCUAGGGGAGCAAACAGG
rnacentral:rRNA from 1 species